CACGCAUUGUGCAACUGAAGUCCAAGUUCCAGGCUGUCUGCUGAGUGCCAUAGGAAGGGAGGAGAAACAGGACAUAAGAUUAAGGAGAUCAUGGCUGCCAUUGAUCGGAAUCCUAUCAUUGGCUCGUUGAGAGUUUGCCACCUGCAAGCACUUGUUGUGUACUUGAAGGCCCUGAGAAACUCAAAGGAAUACCUGAGCUGCCAGGACUGGUGUCAUCACUGAAAGCGGUCAUAAACAACAUGGCAGAUUCAUCUAUUUCCUCCAGCCAAAGCGACUCACCAUGCACUAGCAGUGACACUUGCAGUGAAGACAUGGUAUUAUGACUGAAGGACCUUGAACCGAUCCCUCAUUAGCAUUGUGCAGGCCCUCCAUGAUUUUGUGAUCUUGCACGUUCAUCAAUUCAUGCAAAUUCAGGGACUUUGCUAGCCUGGCUAAC